rnacentral:rRNA from 1 species
ACAUGAAGCUGGAAUCGCUAGUAAUCGCGAAUCAGAAUGUCGCGGUGAAUACGUUCCCGGGUCUUGUACACACCGCCCGUCACACCAUGGGAGUCGGAAAUGCCCGAAGUCAGUGACCCAACCACAACGUGAACUUCGUUCGCGUGGAGGGAGCUGCCGAAGGUGGAGCCGGUAACUGGGGUGAAGUCGUAACAAGGUAUC